UACGUAGGGUCCGAGCGUUGUCCGGAAUUAUUGGGCGUAAAGGGCUCGUAGGCGGUUCGUCACGUCGGGAGUGAAAACUCGGGGCUUAACCCCGGAGCCUGCUUCCGAUACGGGCAGACUAGAGGUAGGCAGGGGAGAGCGGAACUCCUGGUGUAGCGGUGGAAUGCGCAGAUAUCAGGAAGAACACCGGUGGCGAAGGCGGCUCUCUGGGCCUUACCUGACGCUGAGGAGCGAAAGCGUGGGUAGCGAACAGG
rnacentral:rRNA from 1 species